rnacentral:rRNA from 1 species
AUUGAACGCUGGCGGCAGGCUUAACACAUGCAAGUCGAGCGAGCGGCGGACGGGUGAGUAAUGUCUGGGAAACUGCCUGAAGGACUGGGAUAACUACUGGAAACGGUAGCUAAUACCGCAUACCAUCAGAUGUGCCCAGAUGGGAUUGGCUAGUAGGUGGGGUAAUGGAUCACCUAGGCGACGAUCCCUAGCUGGUCUGAGAGGAUGACCAGCAACACUGGAACUGAGACACGGUCCAGACUCCGACGGGAGGCAGCAGUGGGGAAUAUUGCACAAUGGGAGCAAGCCUGAUGAAGCCAUGCCGCGUGUGUGAAGAAGGCCUGCGGGUUGUAAAGCAAUUUCAUCGAGGAGGCGUUACUCGAAGAAGAAGCACCGGAUAACUCCGUGCCAGCAGCCGCGGUAUUUC